rnacentral:rRNA from 1 species
GACGUCAAAUCAUCAUGCCCCUUAUGAUUUGGGCUACACACGUGCUACAAUGGACAAUACAAAGGGCAGCGAAACCGCGAGGUCAAGCAAAUCCCAUAAAGUUGUUCUCAGUUCGGAUUGUAGUCUGCAACUCGACUACAUGAAGCUGGAAUCGCUAGUAAUCGUAGAUCAGCAUGCUACGGUGAAUACGUUCCCGGGUCUUGUACACACCGCCCGUCACACCACGAGAGUUUGUAACACCCGAAGCCGGUGGAGUAACCUUUUAGGAGCUAGCCGUCGAAGGUGGGACAAAUGAUUGGGGUGAAGUCGUAACAAGGUAGCCGUAUCGGAAGGUGCGGC